rnacentral:lncRNA from 1 species
AAAAUAAAUAGUUUUGCCUAGGACUGAGCCCCAGUUCAGAUGGUUCCUUCCUUGACUUGUGCAGAAUUCUCUAGUUUAAAAAAGACAAGCUCAAAAAUUUAUAAAAACUAAUAGUGAGUUUCAGGCUGCUGCAUCAACCCACAUAUAUAAAGAUACUGAAAGAUCAAAAGGAUGUCUCCUAAUGAAAUUGCAAGUGAAGAAAAUUCUCCCACACACUCUUCUGAUCAAUCCAGAGAGAAGUACUGCUAACCAGGGCCAGGAAGAUAUGUUUCCAUACUCGCAACAUCUUAAGACAUUUGGACCUCACAAACAAAGUUAAAUAAAUAAUAACCCUAGUCAGUGAGUUUUGCCACUGAAGUUUAAGGAACAUAAAUUCAACCAAAAUCCUUUUCAUUCUAAAUCUAAUCUGUAGAAGAAAUGCCUCCAUUCACCACAUCUUCCAAAAAGGUGAGGCCAAUUC